AGAGUUUGAUCCUGGCUCAGAUUGAACGCUGGCGGCAGGCUUAACACAUGCAAGUCGAGCGGUAACAGGGGGUGCUUGCACCCCGCUGACGAGCGGCGGACGGGUGAGUAAUGCUUAGGAAUCUGCCCAGUAGUGGGGGAUAGCCCGGGGAAACCCGGAUUAAUACCGCAUACGUCCUACGGGAGAAAGCAGGGGAUCUUCGGACCUUGCGCUACUGGAUGAGCCUAAGUCGGAUUAGCUAGUUGGUGGGGUAAAGGCCUACCAAGGCGACGAUCCGUAGCUGGUCUGAGAGGAUGAUCAGCCACAUCGGGACUGAGACACGGCCCGAACUCCUACGGGAGGCAGCAGUGGGGAAUAUUGGACAAUGGGGGCAACCCUGAUCCAGCCAUGCCGCGUGUGUGAAGAAGGCUUUCGGGUUGUAAAGCACUUUCAGCGAGGAGGAAGGCUCUGAAGUUAAUACCUUCAGGGAUUGACGUUACUCGCAGAAGAAGCACCGGCUAACUCCGUGCCAGCAGCCGCGGUAAUACGGAGGGUGCAAGCGUUAAUCGGAAUUACUGGGCGUAAAGCGCGCGUAGGUGGUUAGGUAAGCGAGAUGUGAAAGCCCCGGGCUUAACCUGGGAACGGCAUUUCGAACUGUCUGACUAGAGUGUGGUAGAGGGUAGUGGAAUUUCCUGUGUAGCGGUGAAAUGCGUAGAUAUAGGAAGGAACACCAGUGGCGAAGGCGGCUACCUGGACCAACACUGACACUGAGGUGCGAAAGCGUGGGGAGCAAACAGGAUUAGAUGCCCUGGUAGUCCACGCCGUAAACGAUGUCAACUAGCCGUUGGGACUCUUGAAGUCUUAGUGGCGCAGCUAACGCACUAAGUUGACCGCCUGGGGAGUACGGCCGCAAGGUUAAAACUCAAAUGAAUUGACGGGGGCCCGCACAAGCGGUGGAGCAUGUGGUUUAAUUCGACGCAACGCGAAGAACCUUACCUGGCCUUGACAUCCAGAGAACUUUCCAGAGAUGGAUUGGUGCCUUCGGGAACUCUGAGACAGGUGCUGCAUGGCCGUCGUCAGCUCGUGUCGUGAGAUGUUGGGUUAAGUCCCGUAACGAGCGCAACCCCUAUCCCUGGUUGCUAGCAGGUAAUGCUGAGAACUCCAGGGAGACUGCCGGUGACAAACCGGAGGAAGGUGGGGAUGACGUCAGGUCAUCAUGGCCCUUACGGCCAGGGCUACACACGUGCUACAAUGGCGCGUACAGAGGGCUGCCAACUCGCGAGAGUGCGCCAAUCCCUUAAAACGCGUCGUAGUCCGGAUCGGAGUCCGCAACUCGACUCCGUGAAGUCGGAAUCGCUAGUAAUCGCGAAUCAGAAUGUCGCGGUGAAUACGUUCCCGGGCCU
rnacentral:rRNA from 1 species